rnacentral:rRNA from 1 species
UACGGGGGGGGCAAGCGUUGUUCGGAAUUACUGGGCGUAAAGGGCUCGUAGGCGGCCAACUAAGUCGGAUGUGAAAUCCCCAGGCUUAACCUGGGAACUGCAUCCGAUACUGGAUGGCUUGAAUCCGGGAGAGGGAUGCAGAAUUCCAGGUGUAGCGGUGAAAUGCGUAAAUAUCUGGAGGAACACCGGUGGCGAAGGCGGCAUCCUGGACCGGCAUUGACGCUGAGGCGCGAAAGCCAGGGGAGCAAACGGG